ensembl:lncRNA
GUACUAUACUAUAUCUGUGUAUAUAUGGUUCUGCUGGUUGAUUUUCUGCAGUUACUCCUAAGCCCACUGCUGCUCCACUGUCUACUCUGCAAACCAUCACAGACCCAUCCAGUGUCUCCACACUCACAAAGAUUACUGCAGAUUUUCCAGCAAAUAUGAACAAACAGCAUCCACAACACAGCCCAUACAUCCUUCAGUCCUGCAAGAGCUUCCUGUUUAUGGACGGGUGCUUGGUGUGUUCCUGUGCUGUGCGCUUGUGGCUUUUGUGGUUCUCUACAGAAGGCCAUCCAUUGCACACUCAACAUGUAAGCCCAUUUAAAGACUGUUUAGAAAUAUAAAUGCAAUUUAAACUGUCA